GAUGAACGCUGACAGAAUGCUUAACACAUGCAAGUCAACUUGAAUUUGGGUUUUUAACUUAGGUUUGGGUGGCGGACGGGUGAGUAACGCGUAAAGAACUUGCCUCACAGCUAGGGACAACAUUUAGAAAUGAAUGCUAAUACCUAAUAUUAUGAUAAUAGGGCAUCCUAUAAUUAUGAAAGCUAUAUGCGCUGUGAGAGAGCUUUGCGUCCCAUUAGCUAGUUGGAGUGGUAACGGCUCACCAAGGCGAUGAUGGGUAGCCGGCCUGAGAGGGUGAUCGGCCACAAGGGGACUGAGACACGGCCCUUACUCCUACGGGAGGCAGCAGUGGGGAAUAUUGGACAAUGGACCGAGAGUCUGAUCCAGCAAUUCUGUGUGCACGAUGAAGUUUUUCGGAACGUAAAGUGCUUUCAGUUGGGAAGAAAGAAAUGACGGUACCAACAGAAGAAGUGACGGCUAAAUACGUGCCAGCAGCCGCGGUAAUACGUAUGUCACGAGCGUUAUCCGGAUUUAUUGGGCGUAAAGCGCGUCUAGGUGGUUAUAUAAGUCUGAUGUGAAAAUGCAGGGCUCAACUCUGUAUUGCGUUGGAAACUGUAUAACUAGAGUACUGGAGAGGUAAGCGGAACUACAAGUGUAGAGGUGAAAUUCGUAGAUAUUUGUAGGAAUGCCGAUGGGGAAGCCAGCUUACUGGACAGAUACUGACGCUGAAGCGCGAAAGCGUGGGUAGCAAACAGG
rnacentral:rRNA from 1 species